UACAGAGGUCUCAAGCGUUGUUCGGAUUCAUUGGGCGUAAAAGGGGUGCGUAGGCGGCGCGGUAAGUCGGGUGUGAAAUCUUGGGAGCUUAACUCCGAAACUGCAUUCGAUACUGCCGUGCUUGAGGACUGGAGAGGAGACUGGAAUUCAUGGUGUAGGCAGUGAAAUGCGUAGAGAUCAUGAGGAAGACCGUGGACGAAGGCGGGUCUCUGGACAGUUCCUGACACUGAGGCACGAAGGCCAGGGGAGCAAACGGG
rnacentral:rRNA from 1 species